rnacentral:rRNA from 1 species
UACGUAGGGAGCAAGCGUUAUCCGGAUUCAUUGGGCGUAAAGAGCGCGUAGGCGGUUUGUUAAGUCAGAUGUGAAAACUGGGGGCUCAACCCGCAGCCUGCAUCUGAAACUGGCAGACUUGAGUCUGGUAGAGGAAAGUGGAAUUCCCAGUGUAGCGGUGAAAUGCGCAGAUAUUGGGAGGAACACCAGUGGCGAAGGCGGCUUUCUGGGCCACGACUGACGCUGAGGCGCGAAAGCUAGGGGAGCAAAC